GGCCGCGGGGCACAGGCCAUGCCACUCGCCGUCGAGGGGAAGGAGGCCUGUCACACGCUGUGACACAGGCGAACCCCAAAGACACCGUGCUGAGCGAAGAGCCCCAGGCCCGAAGCGGCACAGAGGGGAAGCGGCCGCACCGCCGUCGUCCUGGGAUCGGACACGAGCGUGACGCGUGGGGCCCUCUCUUCAAAGAGGCAGUGUAUGCGACGUCACAGUUCUGCUCAGCGACGUUUCCUGGGACGAUGACCGAGCCAACAGCGACGCACGCACGCGGGCCCCAGGUGGCUGCGCCCAAGCGUCACUUUAUACUAGAGAAACUAGGGCUUUUUAGGGAGCUUGCGGAUCCCACUCCGUAGCGGGAAAGGCGAGCCCGGAGCACCCCGCCCCAGCAGACCGCAAGGCAGCCAUCGAGGAGUCGGAGCCGCGGAAGGGUCCCCGAGUCCCCGCCGGCAAAGCACGAGACCUCGGGGGCGGUGCGGUCAGUGAUGCCGUCGAUGGAAGCCCGUCCCGCAUGAUUGGACGACCAUGGGAAAGCGGAUAGUCAACGAGAGGAAGUACUGCUCUGGAAAAGUAUUCUGACUGAGAAACGAACACAGAAGCGCGAGAGGUAGAGCACCCCCAGUUCAUGCACCCCAACGCACCGGCGGAUCUGGGCAUCUGGCAUCAGCGUCUGCCGGCGUCGCGAAACGAGAGCUUUCCCGACUCUUCAGGAAGGAAUGCACCGAACCGCACGGAAUUUGAAAGUUCCAGGACGACGACGUCCUUCAGUAGCGUCAUGUUCUUCCAGCCCAGAAUGCAGGCAGGGACAGUGACAUCGGUGACGAGGACGUCGGCCGCGUGCUCAGGAAGCCGCCACGUGCGGCCGGGAUGAGGUGCAGCCAGCUGUGCGCUCCCGUCACGCGGACCCGGCUCUCCGCACCAGCACGGCCGCGGGGGAAGGCUGAGCCCCAGACCAGCGGGGAACCCGCCCACGUGGCGUCGUGUGUGUCAACCAGCAAGUGCGUGACGUCACGGGAAGGCCACAGGGCCGCAGGUCAGAGAGCGUCAUUUACGACGGACGCCGUCGGCUCCAAGCGCGUAAUUCGGGGGAGCCGGGGAGCCUCUCACACUCCAGUUUUCUCCUCUGGGAACCGCCGGCCGGUCCCGUCGCGUGAGGAGGGCGGGGCAGCCGUGGGGACCGGCCCGCUGUGCUCUUCGCAAGGACAGAGCAUCUCUCGCUCCCGCUCGGAAGCUCUGCUUCGGCGCUCACCGCAGCUCGGGGAAGAGGCCGCCACUCUGAGCGAGGUGGGGACGCCGGGUGCUUGAGCUUAUCCGAGUCUCUCACCCACCGCCAGGAUUUUCUCAGAUGGCCGCUUGUGGCAGCGUCACCCCCACCCCACUGGGUGGACACUCUGCGAGGACUCGUCGGAAGGUUGAGAACCCUUCGCUUGGCAGCCAUAGACGUGGUCACCCAACCCCUGUGUUUCCUCAGAUCGAACUAAUUUACUAAUGAGAGAGAAAACACCCCAAAUCUCUCUGUUGAACCUCAAAUGCCAAGAAGCUGAGAGGGCUACUAGGCUCCCUAAAACUCAAAAAAAAAAAAAACCCAGAAAAGAGAAAAGCAGAGGAGAUGAACGAGAGCUUGUGACGUUCUCAGAGCUGACGAGGUCGCUCCAGCAAACUACGUGACGGUGUCAGGUGUCCUUCUGGAAAUGCACCUAGCAACGUGGGUUCGAGGGACUUGAAACGUCCACUUCCUUUGACACACUCGAUUCCCCUUUCAACACGUAUUCUGCGGAAUAAUCGAAGACGCGGGACAAGGUGCCCGUGCAGCUCCGUUCUUUCAGGUUUCCUUAGAAUCAAAACCGUCUUGAGGUGACGCAACAUGUGUCCACUGUCGGUGGGGACAGGUGUCGGGUCCCGGCUUUGACGGCCCCACCCCGAGGCAGCGCCGGGUGUGACGUGGUGGGCGAGGCCUGCAGGCUGCUCGUCCUCUGCGGAGACAAUGCGUGAGCGCACACCCCGCAAACGGGCCCCAAAGGCGGAGCAGCUGGGGCCCGAGACUCCAGCUGCGCCAGUCCCCUGCCCCACCCUCCUGGGGGCCGGUGGCCCCCCAUGUGCCGUGACGCCCACUGGUACGCUUGGCUGGGCCUCAGCACCCCCCUCACUGGUUCUUGUCACCCUUCCAGGCCCUAGGAAGAGGGAGCCAGGGUUCACGGGCCCACAGCACCCGGCAGAGAAGCUGGCGGCAGGUAGUUAGCCGUGUUGAAUGAAUAAACAGAUUCGGCAGCAGUUUUCCCGGCUGACGUGCAGAUCACAUGAUUGCGGCAUCAGCAUUAAACCUGACGUGGGGGAGAAAGACCGGUGGUGUCAGUGGACACGGGAGGCGGCGUCUGCGCCUGCGGCGGGUUUCACGCGGUGACGUUCAGGCCCCUGUCCUGUUCCGGGCUGCGGGCUGUCGCGAGGCCGAGCACAACGAGGCGGGAUUAGGAAGAUCGUGGUCUCGCCGCAGACGGGGAGUCUGGCAGAAGCUUCGGUCACGGCUGCGAUGUGACGACGUGCCCCACGGUUCCACGGGGCGGACAGCCGCCCACCAGGCUCUCCCGUAACCACUUAUUAGCAGAGGCGGAAGGCGGGGAGGGGGGACAGAGGGUUGUUCUCAUGGCGGUAACUUUAAGGUACAAAAUAGCGAAAAAUUUGAACCAACUGAGAACCAGAAAACAGGUCUGGUCUUGACUGGUCUGUGAACGAGCUUUGCAACUCUGGGCAAAACACUCCACCUUCCAAUCCAGACCCAACAUUUUAUAACUUGAUGAUUUCGUUUCUCUGUAAUAUUUACAUCGAUGAGUCAAAACACCACAUUCACCUCCAGAGGAAGCUCCAAGUAGUGACGCAAUAACACUCCUCAGAGCAGGGCCACCCAGAGCAAAGGGGUGACUGACACUCACGCUCUAAGGUAAGAGCCGAAGCAACCGCAGUGGCGAAUCGACACUGGCCACCCGGCCUGAGGUCAGAUGGGCCAGCAGGCCAGUGGGGACCCCGGGCAGCAGGGCGAGGUCAGGGUGGCCACCUGACCCCCAGUCUCUGCCAAUCGGCUCAUCUCGGCGUCCAAAGAAUAAGGAAGAGGUGUCGAGGGAAUCCGAGAACUUUAUUUUUCCACAGACCGAGGCUGUUUUGACCUGGCGGGUCACAGUUUCAGAAGAAGCUGAGUUCGUAGUAUUUCCCUCUGGAACGACAAAGCGCCAGCUCUUGAGAAAGAGAGGAACCUGGACCGAUUCCUGUUCUGUUCUGAUCCACUCCGUUCGGAUGCUCCUGGGCCCUCCGCCCUUUGAGGGGCACUCAGAGGGUCACGUGAAAGCUGUCACCAUGUCAGGGACAGAAAUUCCCUGGAAGGCUUUGUAUCAUCCCUUCGGAUGUAUUUAUAACCAGGACGCGGCUUCCUGAAAACAAGAACUGCGUGUCCUGCUUACAACAGGCGCGAAUCUGCUCCCUGGAAACAAAUAAGCUGUCAGGUGCCCGGAGGAGAGGAAACCAGCUGUGCUUUCAGCCCACGCCACGUGCCGAGCACACGGCGCCAGGCGCUCACCGCAUUAUCUGGUUUAACAGCCACGAGAGCCUGAUGGGAUGAGGACAUUAUUUUCACCGGGUAUAGGAAGCGGAGACUCGGAAGACCCCCAUUGGCACGUCUGAUGUCAGCUCCAAACGGCCGAGCUAUCGAUGAAGAAGGGACAAGUGACAUGCUGUCACAGACCAGAGUAGACCAGGAAGAAAUAAUGACCGGAUGCAGCGUGGUCUCCUGGACUAGGUUCUAGAACAAUAAAAAAGGGUUUUAGCAGGAAGAACGGCUAAUACCAAAUAACCAACUCUCCUACAAAUCUAAAAUUAUCCCAAAACAAAAUGUUUAGUUAAAAAAAUUUAAAGCCGGACAAACUGUGUUAACAUCAGGAAAACCAGGCUUCAGAACAAGGCAAACGACCAGGGAUGGUGCGGACAGCACAGCGGGAAAGGGUGACAUCACCGAGAAGGGUUAAUAACCCCAAAUGUACGAACCGAAAACCAACAGAACUAAAGAGAGAAGUGGAAAAACCACAGUUACACUUGGAGACUCCGACCCUCCUCUCUCGGUUAUCAGUAAAAAAGGGGGAGGCCUAAUCAGCAAGGAUGCCAAGGAUUUGGAAAACACUAUCGAUAAAUGACUUAAUGGGCAUUUACGGGACAAUUUCCUUCACGACAGCAGAACGCACAUUCUAAGAGCACAGGGAACAUCCACCGAGACAGAGCACGUCCGGCCCCGUCAAAGUAACACUGACAAAUGCAGAAGGCUCGAAGCAGACAAAUUAUAUUCUCCAGCAAAAUGGAAUUAACCUAGACAUGAAAAACAAAAGUAAAUUUGGAAAAAAGUCCAAAUGUUUGCACAUUGAAUGUAAUGCUUCUAAACAAUACAUGGGUCAAAACAGACGUCUCCAGGGAAGUUAGAAAUGAUUUUGAAUGGAAUGAAAGUAAAAAUACAACCUAUAAAUAUGUACUGUAUGUUACUGAAGCGCUGCUUACAGGGAAACUUACAGCGUUAAAUGCUAUAAGAGAAGAAAGUCUCACAUCGGUCAUCUAAACUUCUACCUUAAAGUCUGGGAAAGAAAAAGCAAAAUCAACUCGAAUCAAGCAGAAGGAAGGAAAUAAUAAACGAAGAACAGAAACUGACGACAUUGAAAACAGUGUGACAAUAGGAAAAAACCAAAAAACUAAAGCUGGUUCUUUGAAAAUGUCAAUCAAAUCCUAGCAAGACCAACAAAGAUAUAGAGAAGACACAAAAUAUCAGCAUCGGAAAUGAAAGGGGACAUUCAGGCCACACAGACAACAGAGGGUGAUGAUGACUAGCACCUCCUCGCUACUGUGAAUUUAACUCCUAGAUGGAGGGGACCAGCUCCUUGAAAAACACCAACUACCCAAGUUCACUCGACAAGAACGAACCUGAAUAGUUCUACAUUCAUUAAACAAAUUAAAUUUUUUUGUUUAAAACCUUCUAAUCAAUGUAGAAAAUUCUAAGGAUGCAAAACAAAUAGACAAAAAAAGCAAACAAAAGUCUGUUAAAACUAAGCUAACAGUUGGAUACAAGAUGAACACAAUGUUGCUCGAGACGGCAACUCGCCCUAAACCGGUUUUUAGCUUUAACCCGAUUCUUGCCCAAAUCCCAGCAGGUUGUUAGCCAUGGACGAGCUGGUCCAAAAGUGCACAGGACCUCGGACGUCUGGGGUGCAGCCGACGCCGUCCCAGGAUCACACGCACGCACGAACCACCAGGACACGGUCUCCUUGGGGAGAUGCUUGCUCGAAACUGCCGGACACCUCUGAGCACGUCUGGGUGUCUGCUGCACGGCCUAGGACUGAGACAGGGCCGCGGCUGGCUCCACUCGGGUCGGGGACACGGACGGCCGAGGGCAGACUUCGGGGUCGAAGGAAGAGGAGCAGGGCUCGGCCUGGGAGGCCAAGUUGAUGUCGGAGCCGAAGCCACAGGUUUCCAACAAACGGGGACCAUCGGGGGUGGUGGGGACGGGGCCCCGGGGGCUGAGGCUGCCCAAGUCGGCCCCAGUGAGGCCGGGCCCUCGUCCUGCUACUGAGCGCUCAGGCUGAGCAGGAGCAGAGGCUGCAAGGGACAGACCGGGGCUCGACACUCCACGCAGCCCGCUCUGGUCACUCGAGGUCCUGAGCCCGAGGCUUUUAAAUGCACGGGAUUGUUUUACAGUCCAGGAAAGGAAGCGUGUCUUCACACACGCACACGCACGCGUGCACACACAUGCACACACAUGUAGGUGCACACACGCACAUAUGAGCACAAUGCACUCACAUGUGCACAUGCACGCAUACACAUGUACACACGUACACACGCGCACAUGCACGCACGCGUACGUGCACACAUACACCCAUGCACACAUGCACACACAUGCGCAUACACGCACGUAUACGUGUGUACAGUGGGAUUUAGAGUUGGGGGGGCUCAGGCACACCCUGGAUGAGCUCGGCUGAGCCCCUGGGUGCAGACCCCGUUGCUGUGCAGUGGCCCCUGCGGCCCCGGGAGGCGGGGCCAGACCUGGUCCCAGCUGACACGGGUGACCCUGGCGUGCCCAUCACGUGUCUGGCUGCUGCUCUAGCAUUGCGGGCUUUUAUUCCAGGGGCUACUCCCCAAAAACACAUCUCGUGGGGGACAUUGACACUGAGCCGUCCGAACUCUGAAUCACGCGUACGGUGGGUGAGAUUUUCGUUUUUCUUUCUGGUCCGUCACCCCUCAGCCCUGAGUGUCGCACUCCUCGGCCCGAAGUGAAACUGGCUCAGGGCCCGACGGUCCCUGGUCCCCGAGAACCUGCAUCCACCGCUUCCCGUCCACGGACAGAGCUGGGACGUGCACCGCUCCUGGUGUCCUGUGCCCCGUCCUGAGGUCGCACCAGCCACUGGCCCGAGGCUGCUUCCUGGACGGGGGCUUCCUGAAGGGGCGACCUGUCUGCUCAGAACGCCCCUCAGCUUCCAGCCUGUGCCACGUGCCUCCCAGCCGCUGCCCCGCGACGCCAGCACCGUCCCCCACUCCCUCAGCCCGAGGCUCGCUCCCCUCACUGACGCAGAGGCUAGCUCUGCACGGUGGUCCGUGACCGACACCUCGCCAGUCACUUACCUUUCAUUUGUACAAGAAACGGGGUCUCUUAACCCCUCCAAAGGUUCCCAGCUCAAGGAAGAAGCCGCCAGACCCCGUUCGAUGCCGCGUGCUCACGGCGAGGGCGCCCGGAGGAGCUGGGGUCAAGCACGGGGACCCAGCGAGCAGAGGGAACCGUGAGGAAUUUCCACGAUCCCUCGCAGAGUGUGGGGCACGGCCGGUGGGGUUAGGGGGACGUGCUAGUCUGGGCCGAAAGGGGGCUGGCCUCUAGGUGACGGAGGUCACUGCAGGUGGUUGGCAGGAAACCACGCAGAUUCUGGCUGUGCACGUGCAUUUCGUCCCCACUGCCAGGACCUCUGCCGCCAUCUCCAGGAGCUCAGGCCGGUCCUGGGCACUGUCAGUGCUAUGGUCCUCUGUCCCCAGAGCAGUGACAGGAGCCUGUCUCCCCCCUGCCCCACCUGGGUUACAGGCUCGGGGGUGGGUCUCACGGCAUCAUCAGUGGGCCCGCGGGUGACCGUGUGUGCAGGACAGCCGUGGCCCCUCCGGGCAUCACGCCCUCUUACAGGCGGGGUGGACAGGUGGGCACAAGGCCACAGGCGGUAGGACACCAGGCAGCCCCACUACAAGCUGGCCUGGACUCCUCGCACCCCGGUGGGCUUUGUCUGCACCCCGGGGCCCAGAACGGUCACACGGCAGUGCGGGUCGGGGAGGGGUAGUGUGGCCAGGGCCCUGCCUCGGGGGCUGGGCUUUUGUCCCCGUGAGAGCCAUUUGUUAACACAGCCCGAGGGGCGGGGAGUUCUGGGCUCUGGUGCUGGCCGGCAGGCCCAGGCUGGCCGGACCCUGUUCCGUUUGCUAACCGUGACCGUCCGAGCGUCUUCCAUGCAGAGCGCGGUCUGGCUUUUGGCGGUGCUGUCGAAGGCCAGUGUGCCACCGCCCCCUCCGCCUGGAGAAGCUGGUGUUCUCAGGAAGGACGUGCCCACCAAAGCGGGUGUCGCCCUACGUGUGACCGCAGGCCGGCACCCCCCACCACACGUCAGCCCGCCCCGGGCUCGGGCAUCGCAGGGCGGCAGCGGUCACUGCUCUAGAGUAAGCUCUGCACCUGGGGUCCCCGCAGGGAGCACUAGCAGCCAGGCCCGAAGCCUCCCUCUCACAAGCCACUGGAGGCCGGAGACUGUCCCCUCAGCCUGUUCUCUCUGCCUCCCCGGUGGGGCCGGGCCGUGCGGGGCCGGACAGGCUGGGGAGGCACCUGCUUCGCAGCGAACAACAGAUUCCGAAGCUCCGGGCGGCCAGCCCCUGAGCCGGGGACAACGCCUCAGCUUCCUCGUCAGCGGUACCGGAGCUCGGGGCCCCCCGGCUGCUGCGGUUUCAGGCCAUGAUGCUGGGCCCGUCGGUCGGGCGACAAGCGUCCCCCACCCCCCGCAUCAAACACCGGCAGACAACCUUGACUGGGCACAAACCAGGGCACGGGGACACCUGUGUGGCGCGUUUCGGUGUCACCCAUCAGCCGCUUCUAUGAAACGGUCCUAACAGAGAUUGAAUAAGACCCUCUCGGUCAUCGUCCUCGUGCGUACUCCGUUUUUGGUUUCUAAUGGUGAUUCUGGAAUGGUUAUGACAGUGACCUCUUUUUUCAGAGACUCCUCGUUAAAAAAAAAAAAAAAUGCAAGAAACGAUCUAGGAAAGCUGUACGGGCCCCAAAUAAAAUGCUCUGUUAUUUCCAA